rnacentral:rRNA from 1 species
GACGAACGCUGGCGGCGUGCUUAACACAUGCAAGUCGAACGGAAAGGCCCUGCUUUUGUGGGGUGCUCGAGUGGCGAACGGGUGAGUAACACGUGAGUAACCUGCCCUUGACUUUGGGAUAACUUCAGGAAACUGGGGCUAAUACCGGAUAGGAGCUCCUGCUGCAUGGUGGGGGUUGGAAAGUUUCGGCGGUUGGGGAUGGACUCGCGGCUUAUCAGCUUGUUGGUGGGGUAGUGGCUUACCAAGGCUUUGACGGGUAGCCGGCCUGAGAGGGUGACCGGCCACAUUGGGACUGAGAUACGGCCCAGACUCCUACGGGAGGCAGCAGGGGGGAAUAUUGCACAAUGGGCGGAAGCCUGAUGCAGCAACGCCGGGUGCGGGAUGACGGCCUUCGGGUUGUAACCCGCUUUCGCCUGUGACGAAGCGUGAGUGACGGUAAUGGGUAAAGAAGCACCGGCUAACUACGUG